GGCUCAAUGGUCUAGUCGUAUGAUUCUCGCUUUGGGUACAUCACAACAAUGUAGUACAUGCGAGAGGUCUCGGGUUCAAUUCCCGAUUGAGCCC